UCGGGUAUGGUGUAACGGCUAACAUUGCCGCCUUUCACUAUUCACAGUCUUCCGCGGCAGCUCGGGGUUCGAUUCCCCGUACCCGAA